AAAGGUCUUAUUCUCAAGACUUAAUUUCUUUCUCUUGAAUUUGGCUGUUAUAUGGCAGACAUACAGACAUAUGUUUAUUAGCAUAUAUUUAUAUAUUUUUAUAUUUUAUCUAGUAUUUCUACUCAUUCUAUAUGUUGGGAGUAGAAGGGUAUGUUCAGUUUCCCCUCUCUGCUGAGGAUGGAGCUAAGACUCACUAUUAGAAGAUUCUGAUGAUCCUGAUGGGUAGACACGAAAGAGCCAAGGCUUCCUUUACAGAGCUUGGCAUGUCCUCCUUGGCUGGUGAUUUCCCGGUGGCCAGCCCAUGGCCGCUGGAACCCACUGCAGCCUUUUUGAAGGAAAGGACAGACCUGUUCAUUACGAUGAGACUAGUCUUUUUGAGGCGGUGAAACGAUUGACUUGUACUGGUUUAAAGUGACAUUAUUUCCAUGCAUCCAGUAAUAGACCAGGGUUGGGUUGAGCAUUAAUGGUAAAGGUAUGAUAGAGGGGAAAAUAUGAAAGAGAUAGCAAGAGAAGAGGGGAAGAAAUAGUAAGAAUGAAGACAAAGAAAAAGGAAAGGCAGGGAAAAUGGGAUGAUCCAAGAGAGGAGAGGAAAGAAGGUGGGAGCAGGCACGGGAGCCCACUGCCUCCCUGGCCCCAGCACUCUCUGGGGGAGGAAGCUGGCAGCUUCCGGCAGUGGUGCAGCCUCGGUCUGUGAUCACACCUGGAGCUGGCAGCCGGCAGCUGGCAGGUGGCUGCACCUGCAGUCCUACCCACUCUAGUCCCCUCUCUUCACUUGUCAGACACACUCCAAGUCCAGCUUGGACCCUGGAACCUGCUUGUGUUCAGUUUAAAGGAAGCUCAUUUCCAGCUCCUCAUCAGCUGAGAAAGCAACAAGCUGCUAUUUUUGACAAUUUCAAGGUAUGGACGGUAGGGCCAGGCUGCCGCCACCAUGUUCGUUUUCCCUGUGGAGCCAGGAAAGGAGGGGACACGUGGGGGGAGAUUUUCAGCCAACCUGAUUGCCGUGGAGCAGGGAACACUAGUGAAAAUCCAGCUGUAGAUGUCUGUAAUAAAGGGAUUUUUGUCAGUGUUCUUGAAUGCUCUUGAGGUUCUGAAGACGCAAUCUGUCUGACCGACCUCCUGCAAAUGCUGUGCCCCGAUGCACAAAAUUAAUGCCAGGCCUCUGAAUUGUGAGAUUGAUGAAUUCCAGUUAGUUCUUUAAAUAGCAAUGUUUGGUAUUUGGCGCUAUUUAGGAACUUCUAGCACCCAUUCUAUUUAUAAAUUGCUUUUAUAAGCAUAGGAUUUAAAGGCUGAAAAAGACAUCAGAAAUGCUGUAAUGAAAACAGUACUUUCCAGUGCUAGCUCUGAAACUAAUCAUUUGUGACCUUGAAUAAACCACUUCUCUGGGUCUGAUUUCCCUUUCCUAUAACACAAAAUGCUUGAACUCACUGGGCGUACUUCAGUUCUCACGUGCCCUUAUGUGUUGUCCACAGCGCCCCUGGCUAGGGGCAAGCCCACUCCAGUCCCCGCCACCCAUUCAUCCUGCGCUGUGGUCCACAGACUCUGGGGUGCUCUGCUGCCUGGGUCACACAGGGCCCAGAGAGCCAGAGCAGACCCCCGUCAGCUCCGGAUUCAGCUCAGGGUUGGGUGGGAAAUGCACCUAGUUUCCAUGUUGGUUGUGGGGCUCUAGCCGCAGAGAGGCUACGGUCUCUGCCACAGAGUCGAGUCCCUCUCACUGUAGAGAGAAUGAAGGUUUUCCAGUCUGAAUACAGACAUUUUGUAAGUGACUGAACAUCUCUCAAGACAGACACACUCAUACUUCCAGGCUAUUGUUGAUCUCAGAUUCUCCUUCUAAAUGUAAAAUGGACAUGCCCAAAGGGACGGACCAGACUGUGGGCAGUGAUUUACGAUGUCAGACACUGAGCUGGUGACCCCUGCCAUGCCGAAACGUCUUUGAUUCCUCGCUCUUCUUGAUGACUCACACCACCCAGUCUCUGUACUAGCUUCGUACUGCUGCCUUGAAGUCCCAGGAACUGCGGGGCUCGGGACAGAAGAAGUGCAUUCCCUUACACAUCUGGAGGGAGCAAAGUGGAAGCUGAGGUCCCCAUUCACAACGUGCUGCGGAGUGCUGGGCUACAGCAGGUAUCCUUAACACGUUGAAGCUCAGUGAUUCAGACUCGUCUGGCUUCAUUGCUCGUUUGUUCAUCUCUGCAAAAUUGUUGGAAUGACAUUGCUGUUCUGUGUCAAAAGAAGGGUCUUGGGGCCGCUGAGACCUCCACUGGGAACAAGAAAGGCCUGUGCAGGCAGAGCUCCCGGCCACCUCUCCGCUGCAUCACCCAUCAUGCCUCCACCAUUAUUUGUUCUGAUGCAGGGCUGAUGUCAAGAAUUUCAGAAAGAGGACUGGAGCUUUCUUAUCUCUGAAAUUGCUCAUCUAAAUCUCAGUAACUCAUGCAACAUGUUUUCUUAAAUGUAAGUGCUUGGCUACAGUUCUGUAUUAUACUAUGUCUCUUUGUUUUAUUUUUGUUUAUUGUUUGGUUUUAUCUAGGAAAGAUGUAGGUUAUAUCAUGGGACUCAUAUUCAUAAACCUAGUAUAUUGUGCCCGAUUGUUUUUGAUUGUGGAUAAGUCUGUUUUAAUUGUCACAUAUUUCUGUCCCCAAGAAUGCACAUCUCACUCACAAUGGUCCGUGUUUCUUUAACGAAGGAAUUAGAAUAAAGCAUCUGGGACCAGAGCAGGCCACAGGGCCUGUGUCUCUUUUGCUAUCAGGCUCGAUGAGGUGAAAAGUGAAGGCCAGCCACAAAUCAGCUGAGAAUUAACACAAGCUGUUGUUUUGGAGUUUUUCAAAUAUUUUCCAACUCCCAUUGUGUGUUUUUGUGUUUUGUACUCAAAAUCCACUGCCAAAACCUCCCCCAAUGUCAACCCUUCCUGGAUCCCUGCGUCGUUUGGACAGCAAACCAGACUUCUCAUAGGUCAUUAAUCCCAGAGAGAUGUGUUUGUUAAAUAUGAGGAGAUGAGCACAUAUUUUUACCACAUUGAGGUUCACAAAUUCAUUUUUUAAAAAUAAGAUCUUGUCUAACUAAAUUUCUAAUCUACUCCUGAUUUGCAUUUUUAGGGUAGUGUUCAGAUACUCAAAAAUGUAUCUGAAAUGAGAAUCACACCCUGUGGAAUUAGUAGGUUCAGAUGUUGAAGAGAGAGUGGAUAGAACAAGAGGGGAGAGCAGGUUAGUGACCGCAAAGAGAAAGUGGACACAUAAGGCACAUUGCUGUUUUCCGGGGAGAGGAGGGGGAGUAUAUGUGUAUUCUUUUUGUUUUUUACUGCCUGUGGACAAACUAUGCCUGGGAAAAGCCCUCUACUUACAUCUCUUUUGUUGAACACUGUGAUUUUUCAGUAUGCCUUUCCCUUAUGUAACGAUUAUUAAGUUUCCCAAAUAACAGUAAGACAAUUUUCUCUUUUCUUCCUGUGUUUAUGGGCACUGUACUGAAGCUGAUUGCAAUGAAUCAUGUGUGUUAAGUACUCAGCACUAAUCUCAUUUUUCUUUCUUUCAUUCCUGUAGGCAAUGGAAUGACA